rnacentral:rRNA from 1 species
AUGUCUGACUCCGACGAAUACGUGGACCUGCCGGUCUCGGACGAGGAAGAGGAUGAGUGGGAGGAUGGAGACGAAGCUGAGGAGGAGGAAGUGCAGGGAAGCUCUAAGAAGAAGGCCAAGCAGCACGUCGACCAACUCAAGAGGCUGCAGGAAAAGGAUCCCGAGUUCUUUAAAUAUUUGGAAGAGUGUGAUAAAGAGCUCUUGGAAUUCAAUGAUGAUGACAUUGCUGAUGAUCAAGAAAGUGACGAGGAACCUAAAUCUGUCCCUAAGGAGGAGCCAAAAGAAAGUGUUAAACCAAUUACGAUGGAAAUGGUUGAUUCCUGGUGCAAAGGGGCCGAAGAUGGGAAGAUAGGAUCUAUCAGGUCUAUUCUUCAAGCCUUCAGGAGAGCUUGCCAUUAUGGCGAGGACAGUGGGGACAAUUCAGCACCAAAAUUCAGUGUCAUGUCCGGUAGUGUACUCGACAAAGUCAUGCACUACGUUUUGAAGAACAUGGAUAGCAUCCUUCGCCAAUUACUCGGUGCCCCUAGCUCUGGAGGGAAGAAAGAGAAAAUCAGUGAGCUGAUGAUGACUAAUUCAUGGAAGAGGAAUGGCAAUCUAAUGAGGGUGUAUCUUGUCAAUGCACUCCAUAUGAUAACCGAGAUGACUGAUGACCAAAUGAUCGCAUUUACUAUUCUCCGUGUCAGAGCAUCAGCUGUUUUUCUGGCAGCCUUCCCUUCUCUCCUUAGGAAGUAUGUUAAGACCCUGUUGUAUACCUGGGCUAGAGGUCGAGGUGCCAUGCCCUUUAUUUCGUUUUUGUUCCUCCGAGACUUGUGUGUUCAAGUAGGUCCGGAUUGCCUUGACACAUGCCUCAAGGGUAUCUACAAGGCUUAUUUGGUGAACUGCAAGUUGUCCAAGUCUAUCAGCGGAUCGAAACUGCAGCACAUUCAAUUUCUUGGGAAUUGUGUCAAAGAAUUGUAUAUCUUGGACCCUCAAAGUGCUUAUCAACAUGCUUUUGUUUUCAUUCGUCAGUUGGCAGUUAUCCUAAGAGGUGCUCUUACCGAAAGAGGACCAAAGACAUCAAAGGACAAAAAGCAGAAAGAAAGAAACAAACCAACGAACAAACAGCUGGAGAAAUCCUACCAAAAAGUUUAUGAUUGUUAA